CGGUGUGGUAGUUCAGCUGGUUAGAAUACCUGCCUGUCACGCAGGGGGUCGCGGGUUCGAGUCNUACAGUAA
rnacentral:tRNA from 1 species